UACGUAGGGGGCGAGCGUUGUCCGGAUUUACUGGGCGUAAAGAGCGCGUAGGCGGCUUGUCAAGUCGUGCGUGAAAUACCUCGGCUCAACCGGGGGGUGUCGGGCGAUACUGGCAGGCUUGAGGCUGGUAGGGGGAAGUGGAAUUCCCGGUGUAGUGGUGGAAUGCGUAGAUAUCGGGAGGAACACCAGUGGCGAAGGCGGCUUCCUGGACCAGUCCUGACGCUGAGGCGCGAAAGCGUGGGGAGCGAAC
rnacentral:rRNA from 1 species